CCGAAGUCCAAGUAUCCCCAAUAGCAGAGGCAAACCAGAAAGGAGAAGUGGAAAAAUGAGAUCGGUAGCUACACUCUCAUCUCUUCACGUCCAUCACCUUGUCUUCUCAAAACAUUCCGUCUCUCUUUUCAAACCCCUCCGCACACUCCCUCGCAUCUCUUGCUCUUCCUCUCUACAAUUCAACAUCUCCUUCGCCCCUCCAAAACCCAAACCUAAUCCUCCACCCCAAUUGGACGUCCCCAACCACCAACACCACGACAACGAUGACAGCUUUGUAGCUGACGCUUGUUCUGGCACUGGUCAGCUUUUCAUUCCCUGGAUUGUCCGCGGUGAGGAUGGCAAUCUCAAGCUCCAGGCCCAUCCGCCUGCGCGUCUUGUCCAUGCUCUUGCCGAUGCUAAAACGCAGAAUGCCAAGAAGAAGAAGAAGCAAAGCAAGGAGAAGCAGAAGAAGGAGAGCGGCGUGGUGACCAGUGCAGCAGAAGACCGGAAUCUGUCCAAGGCUGCCCGGAGGUUUUAUAAUGAGAACUUCAGGGAGCCACCGCAGCGUCUCAGUAAGGUUCUCGCUGCUGCUGGAGUGGCAUCAAGAAGGAACAGCGAAGAGCUAAUUUUUGAAGGCAAAGUGACUGUUAAUGGUUCUGUGUGCAACACUCCUCAGACUCGGGUUGAUCGUGCAAGGGAUGUCAUUUAUGUCAAUGGAAAUCGCCUUCCUAAGAAACUGCCCCCAAAGCUGUAUCUUGCCCUUAACAAGCCAAAAGGGUACAUCUGUUCGUCUGGGGAUAGAGAAUCUAAGUCUGUCAUGAGCCUAUUUGAUGAUUAUUUGAAGAGUUGGGAUAGGAGAAAUCAAGGACUGCCUAAACCUCGACUAUUUACUGUUGGCCGCCUUGAUGUUGCCACAGGUGGAUUGAUUAUCGUGACCAAUGAUGGAGAUUUUGCUCAAGCACUUGCACAUCCUUCAUUCAAAUUAUCGAAGGAAUACAUUGCAACCGUAGAAGGUGUAGUAAACAAGCAGCAUUUAGUAGCCAUCAGCAAAGGAACUAUCAUUGCAGGUGUCCAUUGCACUCCAGAUUCUGUGGAGCUGCUACCACGGCAGCCAGAUAUAUCAAGACCUCGUCUCCGUAUAGUGGUUCAUGAAGGGAGAAAUCAUGAAGUUCGAGAACUUGUGAAGAAUGCUGGAUUGGAGGUGCAUUCAUUAAAGCGUGUACGAAUUGGUGGUUAUAGACUUCCAUCAGAUCUUGGGAUUGGGAAGCAUGUUGAGCUAAAACGUACUGAUCUCAAGGCAAUGGGUUGGAAGGGUUGAAAGUAGCUGCUGCUUAACUGCUUAGAAUAUAUGCACUCUCCCUGACAGCAAGAUUAAUGAGAUGAAACACAGCUUCCAGGUUUUACGGUGGAGAAUUGUUGCAUGCUCUCCGUUGCAUUGCUGGUUCAAAUCAUGGAUUUAUGAACUGAACUGCUUUCCAAUUAUAGGGUUGAGGAUUGUCACUUCCAGUGGUAGCAGGCAAGCUACAUCUACAGAGGUUGAGAAGCUUUGACACUAUGGUGAUGUAAAUCCAUUCAUUAAAACUGGAAUUUUAUAUGUACAAUGGAAAUGUAGAGUAGACCUUUUUAGCAAUCAACUCAAAAUGUUAGCUGCUUAUAGAAAUCAAAGUUGAGAAUUGUAGAAUGACUGGAUGCUGUGGUUACAAUACUUAUCAUUGAGAUGAUGCAGAAUGGAAAUCAAUGGCCCAUCCAUGUGCAAGGGAUUUCCAUAUCUUGGGGUCAUAGAUCCACUAGUUAUUCUUUGCUUAAUGAGAAUUCUAUAUUUUUCUUUUAGGAAACAGACACAAAGAUGACACCCUUGCAGAUCUCUUGAGAUGACUGUAUGUUCUCACCUGGAACCUCAAGAGGACAAUGGUGGACUGGACAAGAUCUCAAUUCUCCUAGACUUGCAUGUGCCACAAUAGCUGUUGCUUUGCAGGUGUGGGACUCGAUUCACAUGAACAAACUUUUGUUUCUUAUUUUACUGAUUUUCUGUUACAAUUCUUCAAAUGCAAGGCUAAUCAUCUUUGUAAGAAAAUGGUUUCUCUUGUCAAUCAGUGUCCGAGUGGUCAAACCAGACCUGGGCAAGGAGCAUUAGAGUUGGGUCAUGGGCUGAGUAAUAAUUAGUGUACAAUACAACAAGAAAUUAUUUUUUAAAUAAUUUUUGUCAUAAAAAUGAU
rnacentral:misc_RNA from 1 species